rnacentral:rRNA from 1 species
GAGAUGUUGGGUUAAGUCCCGCAACGAGCGCAACCCUUGUCUUUAGUUGCCAUCAUUAAGUUGGGCACUCUAGAGAGACUGCCAGGGAUAACUGGGGUGAAGUCGUAACAAGGUAGCCGUAUCGGAAGGUGCGGCUGGAUCACCUCCUUUCUA